rnacentral:lncRNA from 1 species
GUAAAUAUUUAUUGAGCCUAUACCCUGUGCUAGGUACGUGCAGCAAAGAACAGAGUAGGCGCGGGGUGGGGAAGGGGCGGGAGGAAGCGAGGGGGGUUGGGCAAAGCCGGGCCGAGUGCCUGCGAGCGCCUCCUGUUCUGGUCCCAUAAAUCAGGAGCUGAGAGGAGCACUCUGUCUCCUGAUUUUAUUCUCUACGGAGGAGACCUGCUGCUGUGUCUCUCCCUUCGAAGCCAAGCUGAUCAGUAAGAGGUCUAGCCGUGAACCGGAAACUGUGGUGGUUUCGAUGGUCCGAGUGGAAAAAAUUACGUUUGCUCAUGCAGGAUUUGGGGCCUGGGGCAGGAGAGAGGCCCAGAGCCGCUACCCAGGAAGUGACUCAGGAGCAUGGAAUGCCAUCUUCUACUACCCAGCAUUCAGCUUUGGGAGAGGCAGACACCAAGAUGUGAGGAGGGCAGGCAGCACCCCACUAUCCAGCCAGAGCAGCAGAAUAAAUCCUGGUAACCAGUGAGGGCUUCUCAGUUGCAAAUAUGGAGUUCCUUUGUGGGGAAACCAUCCUGCCAGGUGAAGAAAUGAAGCUGGCAUAAUGCUAUGGGGACCCGGAAACCACGGAUAGAAGUAAGUUCCUCUCCUCCUCUGGUCUCCUUCUAAGAUCUCCAUUGGCAGAGGUAACUGGGAUUCAGCUGCAAAGUAGAGACCCAGGCCUGACUCCCCAAAGUGUGCAGAAGAAUAGUUUUGAUGUCAACAGACACCAACUUAAUAACUGGCGUCCCUACUCUCUUCUCUUUAUUUCUUGAUUACAUGUCCGUAUGUGAGUGGUUUUCAUGCAAUAUCUGCUCUCUCUCAGCUCCAUUCAUUUUCUCAAAUUUAUGAAAUUUGGCUUUGUUAUCAUCAUGCUACUGUACUUUUUGAAAAAGGCCUUCCAAUGACCAAAUCCCGCGGGCCUGUUUCUGCGCUUGUUUCACGUGGCCUGCCCAUUGAGGCAUGUGACAUUGUGGAUCUGUUCUCUUAAAUGACAAAUGCUAUCCACACUACUUCAUAAAUGGAAUAUGUGUUCAUUCAAAGUGUCAACUACAAAUAUAAAGCAACAUCACUGUUUAAUUGUGAAUUCACCCAGCACACAGCAAACACCCUCAGACAAAGCCAUUUAUUUAUAGUAUAGUAACCUGGUAUCGGAGGGAUUGUGGGCAGGAGGAGAAGGGGAUGACAGAGGAUGAGAUGGCUGGAUGGCAUCACCGACUCGACGGACGUGAGUUUGAGUGAACUCCGGGAGAUGGUGAUGGACAGGGAGGCCUGGUGUGCUGCAAUUCAUGGGGUUGCAAAGAGUUGGACAUGACUGAGCGACUGAACUGACUGAACUGAACUUGGUAUCAGAAAUCAUAUCUGUAUUCAAGGUUGAUUAAGUUAGGUCAUAUUUGGAAUUUCUUUAAAAGUUAAUUUCUCUUUAUUACUUAUUUAUUCAGCACGUACAUAUCAAGGACCUUCCCAUGCCAGAGUCUUUUCUAG